rnacentral:rRNA from 1 species
UACGUAGGGUGCAAGCGUUGUCCGGAAUUACUGGGCGUAAAGGGCGCGUAGGCGCUUGUCAGUCAGGCGUGAAAGCCCCGGGCUCAACCUGGGAACGGCGCUUGGGACGGCGAGGCUGGAGUUCGGGAGAGGAGAGUGGAAUUCCCAGUGUAGAGGUGAAAUUCGUAGAUAUUGGGAAGAACACCGGUGGCGAAGGCGGCUCUCUGGACCGACACUGACGCUGAGGCGCGAAAGCGUGGGGAGCAAACAGGG